rnacentral:rRNA from 1 species
GAUGAACGCUAGCGGGAGGCCUAACACAUGCAAGCCGAGCGGUAUUGUUUCUUCGGAAAUGAGAGAGCGGCGUACGGGUGCGGAACACGUGUGCAACCUGCCUUUAUCUGGGGGAUAGCCUUUCGAAAGGAAGAUUAAUACUCCAUAAUAUAUUGAUUGGCAUCAAUUAAUAUUGAAAGCUCCGGCGGAUAGAGAUGGGCACGCGCAAGAUUAGCUAGUGGGUUAGGUAACGGCUCACCAAGGCGAUGAUCUUUAGGGGGCCUGAGAGGGUGAUCCCCCACACUGGUACUGAGACACGGACCAGACUCCUACGGGAGGCAGCAGUGAGGAAUAUUGGUCAAUGGGUGCAAGCCUGAACCAGCCAUCCCGCGUGAAGGACGACUGCCCUAUGGGUUGUAAACUUCUUUUGUAUAGGGAUAAACCUACCCUCGUGAGGGUAGCUGAAGGUACUAUACGAAUAAGCACCGGCUAACUCCGUGCCAGCAGCCGCAGUAA